GCUAGCCUACAGGUAUUUCUGCAUGUGCUGAGAGGGUCUGAGAGUCUGGAAGAGCUGGCUAUUGUCCCACAAACAGAGCCACUCAGUGGCUGCCUGUUUCUGCACCUAGCCCUGCAAAACACUGUUACUUUACAGUCAAGGAUACAGAAGCUGCAGUUGAAUGAGAACUAAUAUGGGAGAGUGCUGCUCAAGAGUCAUCCUUGCUGACCUCUGUGAAAAUUGCUGAUGGUAUCCCAAACAAUAUUAUCUCCGUGCAGAGAUAUGAAUACUUUAAUUUCAUUGAGGAUCAUUGCUCUGACCACCACUGCACAAGAAUGAGAACUGAAAGACAAAGUCAAGAGGCUUCAUUCUAUA
rnacentral:lncRNA from 1 species